AGCUACAAUUACAAAACCAGAAUGGUAAAUGCUACCCAAGCAUUACAGAGUCAGGCAAGUUGGUCAGGGAGGUAGUGUGCUGAGUAAGGAAGGAGAAAGAGAGAUCCAGGAAUCAUGGAAUGAACUGUUUUCAUGGAAGGUGCUCUUCCUUCCUGAGAAGCCAUCAGGAAUGUCCAUGCUGACCCUGUGCAAAGUUGGAAGUACACCUGUAGUACCUAUAGUAUUUCUUUAACCCUCUGCCCAAAGUGCUUGCAAGAGCAGGGAUCCAUUACUACAGAGAGGGAAAAACUAAAAUGUGAGAGAGAGUGGCUGUCCCAAGGUUCCAGCCAGUGAUGGCACAGGUCCAUCUCCAAGACAGUGCUCUUCAUUGCUCUUGCUGCCAACUUCUCAGCUCCUCACCAAGUACCAAAAGUCUGGACUUCCUUUCUUCUGCUGCUGUUUUUUGCAUAGCUAAGGUUCUCCCAAACCUUGCUGGAAUAAGCUUUUUGAAGGUAUAAAAGCAAGACUAUGGAUAAUCUUUACAAUGAGCUAGGUUUCCUACAUGCAAGCCAUCAGCUACCCUGCCCUGGUCUCCAGAGUCUCCAGCACUGCAUUCAUACAAGUAAUCUAAAUAAUGCCAGGGAGCGGUGUCAUCGUUGUCACAUUGUCAGUAGUGAUAUCCCUGGUAUGUCUUCAGCCUAGGGCUCUGUUGAAAGGUUCCUGGGGACAGUUUGGUUGUUAACACAGGCAAGGGACCAUUCUCAAAUGACAGCUUGUACAUGGCCAUUGGCCUUGGAGGCUACAGGAAUUUAGCCAUGUGGAAUGGGCUGAUUCACAGCACUUGAUCUUGGUGCCAAAGGGUGGUGUUACAAACAUUUAAUUUACCUGCAUAUAUGUAGCCUAAGUGGUUAGCUCUGCUCCACAAUUACAUCUACCUAGAGACCUCACAGGUCGAGUUUUUACAUUAACAGCCUGUCUUGUAAAUGCUGUAUCUGCAAUCCUUCACUGUAAAGAGGAAAAUACUACCGAGAAGAUUCAGGGCUGGGUUCACUUGCACUUUCCACAUCACUAAAUCAAGGUCCAGGAAAACUUUUAAUUGUCCUUGUGCCUUUGGCUCUUAUUAAAACUGUCAGUUCAGACUUGAUCUGUGCUGCAGGGUGAAGCCCUGCAGAAAGAAUAGAGACGGAACUUAACACCUCCCUGUUCCAAGUGCAAACCAGCAGCUGCCUGCCAGCCAGACACUCAUUUUGUUUCAUACAGAAGUCCAUCAUAUCAAAUAAUUUUCAGCUGUGCUUUUCUUCUGGCCAUGGAGUGAGGACCCCAAAAUAGCCUAUUUUGACUUACUAAGCUGGUGGGAUCAGUGUGAACCGCAGAAAAAAGCAGAGCUCCCCGUAAACUGCUGAAGUGACCCACACAGUGGUAAGGUCUUCAAAAAUUUUAUCAGUAUUGGUAAGUCCUAUAUUACAUAUUUUUUUCCUGCUAAAAUCUGAUGAUCUUCUCAUAAGGAAAUGUGCUUUGUGCAGGUGCUAAAAUAGGCACCUGGUGUCUCUCUGCAGGCUGCAGGGCACCCAAGAAAUCCACAUGGUGCUGGUAGAGGAGGUAGACAGUGUAGGAAAGCCCCAUUCUUCUCUGAGGUGUGGCUUUCUCAGAUGGUCUCAGGUGCACAAACCUGCAUGUGAGUGUUUGGGUGGACAGGAGCAGGCAAGUGGGCAAGGCAAAGCAAGCAUGUUGGCCUGUAUCAGAUAUAAAAGGCAGAAACUUAUAUUGCCUAAAUACUGAUGUCAGCACAACCCACACCAACUCGCAGUCUGUGUGAAGGGCUGUGGCCAGACAGUUGUGAACACAUGCCACUGUAAUGUAUUAGGAAUUCAAGGUCCUUGCUAAUAGGGCAUUUGACAUCCCAAUGUGUGUAAGUGGCUUCGUCCAUGCAGCUCUCACUGACCAGAGAGAUGUCUUAAACUUUAGUGCGAGCACUAAAUAAAUGCAAGGACUGCAGGAUUUGAGGGAUGUAUCCGCAUAAUGUGUUCCUGUUCACAGCCAGUUUUCCAGCUCCCUUUCUUAUAUACAGUACCCGCUUGUACUCGGUUGCUUUUCCACGUGUUUCACAGCCUAAGGGGAGAGAAACCAGAGUGAGUUUCUUCCAAACUGCAAAUGCCUUCACGUUUCAUCUGUGUACCGGGAAACACCUCACAAGGAGGCUUGCUGCUGUAAAUCCCUUCACCAGGAGAUGGUGCUCCUGCCCUGGGAGUGAUCCCUCACAGAAAGCCCGGGUACCCCUGAUACUCCGCUUGCUGCUGGUGCUCAGUCCUGCUGCAGCCACCCAGCCCCUCUGCUGAGGUGGGUCAGGAUGGCCCUGUGGAAGGAUUUCUUCUCCUCUGAGCUUCUCAUGCUACUCAACAGCUGAAGGAGAAAGAGGCCCAGGGCAUGAAA